UACGUAGGGUGCAAGCGUUGUCCGGAAUUAUUGGGCGUAAAGAGCUCGUAGGCGGUCUGUCGCGUCGGCUGUGAAAUCCCGAGGCUCAACCUCGGGUCUGCAGUCGAUACGGGCAAACUGGAGUGUUGCAGGGGAGACUGGAAUUCCUGGUGUAGCGGUGAAAUGCGCAGAUAUCAGGAGGAACACCGGUGGCGAAGGCGGGUCUCUGGACAAUUCCUGACGCUGAGGCACGAAAGCCAGGGGAGCAAACAGG
rnacentral:rRNA from 1 species